rnacentral:rRNA from 1 species
UACGUAGGGGGCAAGCGUUGUCCGGAUUUAUUGGGCUUAAAGGGUGCGUAGGCGGUCCUAUAAGUCAGUGGUGAAAUACGGCAGCUCAACUGUCGAGGUGCCAUUGAUACUGUAGGACUUGAGUACAGACGAGGUAGGCGGAAUUGACGGUGUAGCGGUGAAAUGCUUAGAUAUCGUCAAGAACACCGAUAGCGAAGGCAGCUUACUAGACUGUAACUGACGCUGAGGCACGAAAGUGUGGGGAGCAAACAGG